CCUACGGGUGGCAGCAGUGGGGAAUAUUCCGCAAUGGGCGAAAGCCUGACGCAGCGACGCCGCGUGAGGGAUGAAGGUCUUCGGAUCGUAAACCUCUGUCAGCAGGGAAGAACGGUCACUGUGAUAAUCAGCGGUGAAUUGACGGUACCUGCAAAGGAAGCACCGGCUAACUCCGUGCCAGCAGCCGCGGUACUACGGAGGGUGCGAGCGUUAGUGGGAAGUACUGGGCGUAGAGCGCUCGUAGGCGGUAUGUCAAGUCAAGUGUGAAAUCUCCGCGCUCAACGUGGUAACUGGCUUUGAAACUGGCAAACUGGAGUGUGAGAGAGGAUAGUGGAAUUACAGGUGUAGGAGUGAAAUCCGUAGAUAUCUGGAGGAACAUCAGUGGCGAAGGCGACUAUCUGGCACAUAACUGACGCUGAGGAGCGAAAGCGUGGGUAGCAAACAGGAUUAGAUACCCGAGUAGUC
rnacentral:rRNA from 1 species